CACGUAGGGGGCAAGCGUUGUCCGGAUUUAUUGGGCGUAAAGAGCUCGUAGGCGGCUCAGUAAGUCGGGUGUGAAACCUCCAGGCUCAACCUGGAGACGCCACCCGAUACUGCUGUGGCUUGAGUCCGGUAGGGGAGCGUGGAAUUCCUGGUGUAGCGGUGAAAUGCGCAGAUAUCAGGAGGAACACCAGCGGUGUAGACGGCUUUCUGGACCAUGCUGACGCUGAGACACGAAAGCGUGGGUAGCAAACAGG
rnacentral:rRNA from 1 species